GCCGCAUUGGCGUAGUGGUAUGCGCGCCCCACUUGUACCACGUAGGGGCUCUCAGCCUGCUUACGUGAGAAAUGGGGAGGUCACUUGUUCGAUCCAGGUAUGUGGCA